rnacentral:lncRNA from 1 species
UGACAUAUAGUGAGACAGUGAAUACAAUGAAAUAGAUAGAAUCCAGCGGAAUAUAUUUAAAUAUAAUGUGAAAAAAAGAUAGUGAAUAUAAUGAAAUACAUGGAAUACAAAGAGACACAUUAAAUUACAAUGUAAAGGGAGGGGGAAAGACGGGCAGUAAGGGUGGAAUAGAUAGAAUCCAGCAGAAUACAUUGAAAUACAAAGAUAGUGAAUAUAAUGAAAUACAUGGAAUACAACGAGACACAUUGAAUUAUAAUGUAAAGGGAGGGGGAAAGACUGGGCAGUAAGGGCGGAGAGGGACGCGGCGGUGGUACGACGGUCAAGAAUGAUUUAACAUUCCAGGAGAUGAAAUAUCAACGGGAAGUUUUAUUGCCCAUUUCAUUCCAAGGUUAUACGAAGACGAUCCCGAAUUCAACCUUGAAAUUCUGAAAAUGGCGUGUAAGAAGAUCAGACAAUGGUUCUGUCCAGCCCAAGCAAAGAAACCACGCACGCGAUUUACCCGUCCGUGACACUGACAUGUUUGACUUGUGUCAGCUGCUUCAGGAUUAGUUUAUAAAAAAAUCUUGAUGUUUGACCUGUGUCAACAGCUUUGGGGCUAAUAUGGAUUUU